AAUGUGGAGAUUACCAUUCCCGUGCCCACCGACGUGGACUCGCCCUCCUUCAAGACCACCAUUGGUACCGUAACCUAUGUACCGGACAAGGACGCGAUCGUGUGGUCCAUCAAGCAAUUUUAUGGUGCCAAGGAGGUCGUCAUGCGUGCUCACUUUG
rnacentral:ribozyme from 1 species